UGGGCAACCUGCCCCUCUCUCUGGGAUAACCCCCGGGGAAAACCGGAGCUAAAUACCGGAUACUCCGGCUGGAUCGCAUGGUCCGGCCGGGAAAGGUCCGCCGGAGAGGGAUGGGCCCGCGGCCUAUCAGCUUGUUGGUGGGGUCAUGGCUCACCAAGGCGACGACGGGUAGCUGGUCUGAGAGGACGAUCAGCCACACGUGGGAAACUGAGACACGUCAGACUCCGUACGGGAGGCA
rnacentral:rRNA from 1 species